AGAAGUUUGCUCUUUUAUAUUUCUCCAGUAGGUUUCUCAUAACGAGAAGCCCCC
rnacentral:snRNA from 1 species